UACGAAGGGGGCUAGCGUUGCUCGGAAUCACUGGGCGUAAAGCGCACGUAGGCGGCUUUCUAAGUCAGGGGUGAAAUCCUGGAGCUCAACUCCAGAACUGCCUUUGAUACUGGAGAGCUUGAGUCCGGAAGAGGUGAGUGGAACUCCGAGUGUAGAGGUGAAAUUCGUAGAUAUUCGGAAGAACACCAGUGGCGAAGGCGGCUCACUGGUCCGGUACUGACGCUGAGGCGCGAAGGCUAGGGGAGCGACCCGG
rnacentral:rRNA from 1 species